rnacentral:rRNA from 1 species
UACGGAGGGGGCUAGCGUUAAUCGGAAUUACUGGGCGUAAAGCGUGCGUAGACGGUCAUGUAAGUCGGGUGUGAAAGCCCCGGGCUCAACCUGGGAAUUGCAUUCGAGACUGCAUGGCUAGGGUGCGGAAGAGGGAAGCGGAAUUUCCGGUGUAGCGGUGAAAUGCGUAGAUAUCGGAAGGAACACCAGUGGCGAAAGCGGCUUCCUGGUCCAGCACCGACGUUCAGGCACGAAAGCGUGGGGAGCAAACAGG